CGGGAGCAAUCCUGGUGGCGAGUGGCGAACGGGUGAGUAAUAUAUCGGAACGUGCCCAGUCGUGGGGGAUAACGCAGCGAAAGCUGUGCUAAUACCGCAUACGAUCUACGGAUGAAAGCGGGGGAUCGCAAGACCUCGCGCGAUUGGAGCGGCUGAUAUCAGAUUAGCUAGUUGGUGGGGUAAAGGCCUACCAAGGCGACGAUCUGUAGCUGGUCUGAGAGGACGACCAGCCACACUGGAACUGAGACACGGUCCAGACUCCUACGGGAGGCAGCAGUGGGGAAUUUUGGACAAUGGGCGCAAGCCUGAUCCAGCAAUGCCGCGUGCAGGAUGAAGGCCUUCGGGUUGUAAACUGCUUUUGUACGGAACGAAAAGGUCUUUCUUAAUACGAGAGAUUUAUGACGGUACCGUAAGAAUAAGCACCGGCUAACUACGUGCCAGCAGCCGCGGUAAUACGUAGGGUGCGAGCGUUAAUCGGAAUUACUGGGCGUAAAGCGUGCGCAGGCGGUUUUGUAAGACAGAUGUGAAAUCCCCGGGCUCAACCUGGGACCUGCAUUUGUGACUGCAAGGCUAGAGUACGGUAGAGGGGGAUGGAAUUCCGCGUGUAGCAGUGAAAUGCGUAGAUAUGCGGAGGAACACCGAUGGCGAAGGCAAUCCCCUGGACCUGUACUGACGCUCAUGCACGAAAGCGUGGGGAGCAAACAGGAUUAGAUACCCUGGUAGUCCACGCCCUAAACGAUGUCAACUGGUUGUUGGGUC
rnacentral:rRNA from 1 species